rnacentral:rRNA from 1 species
GACGAACGCUGGCGGCGUGCUUAACACAUGCCAGUCGAACGGAAAGGCCCUGCUUGCAGGGUACUCGAGUGGCGAACGGGUGAGUAACACGUGGGUGAUCUGCCCUGCACUUCGGGAUAAGCCUGGGAAACUGGGUCUAAUACCGGAUAGGAGCCAUUUUUAGUGUGAUGGUUGGAAAGUUUUUUCGGUGUAGGAUGAGCUCGCGGCCUAUCAGCUUGUUGGUGGGGUAAUGGCCUACCAAGGCGGCGACGGGUAGCCGGCCUGAGAGGGUGGACGGCCACAUUGGGACUGAGAUACGGCCCAGACUCCUACGGGAGGCAGCAGUGGGGAAUAUUGCACAAUGGGCGCAAGCCGGAUGCAGCGACGCCGCGUGGGGGAUGACGGCCUUAGGGUUGUAAACUCCUUUCGCUAGGGACGAAGCUUUUUGUGACGGUACCUAGAUAAGAAGCACCGGCUAACUACGUG